rnacentral:rRNA from 1 species
UACGGAAGGGAGCUAGCGUUGUUCGGAAUCAUCGUGGGCGUAAAGCGCACGUAGGCGGAUGUGUCAGUCAGGGGUGAAAUCCCGGAGCUCAACUUCGGAACUGCCUCUGAUACAGCACGUCUUGAGUCCGAUAGAGGUGGGUGGAAUUCCUAGUGUAGAGGUGAAAUUCGUAGAUAUUAGGAAGAACACCAGUGGCGAAGGCGACUAUCUGGGUAAUACUGACGCUGAGGGACGGAAGGCAUGGGGAGCAAAUGGG